rnacentral:lncRNA from 1 species
UAAUUCUCACAACAAGCUUAAGAGGGAGGUGCUACUAUCUGUUCUCAUUUUAGAGAAGCGGAAAUUGAAAUUCAGACAAGUUUACACACCUGCCCAAGGUUACACAUAUUGAAAGGGCCAAGCUCGCCAGCACCACCUCCAGGAGAGGGGCUGGAGGAUUAGGAGAAUCUCAACAGCUUCAUCUUUAGGACUAGUGUCCUUAUAAGAAGAGGAGAAGAUACCAGGAAUGCAAGUGUAGAGAAAACAUCAUGUAAGCAAGAAGGCAGUGAUCUG